AGAUCUGCAAAAACAUGAAUUAAAAAAACGGAACCGAUACAGCAAUACAUGUCUGUACUGUGAGCUAGGGUUGGCUGUAGAAAUUGCUAGAUAUGGCCAAUUUGAUUGGAAAAACUAUGAGAAUUCAAAUUACAGAUUGGGGAUUCGAAUGGCCACGAAAGAUCGGCUAAAACAUGAAUGAAAAAUACAAAACCGAUUCAACAAUACCUAUUUGUACUCUGAGCUAGGGUUGGCUGUAGAAAUGGCUAGAAGUGGCCAAUUUGAUUGGAAAACGUAUGAGAAUUCAAAUCAGCGAUUGACGAUUCGAAUGGCUACAAAAAAUCUGCAAAAACAUGAAUUAAAAAAAUCGAACCGAUACAACAAUACAUGCCUGUACUGUGAGCUAGGGUUGGUUGUAGAAAUUGCUAGAUAUGGCCAAUUUGAUUGAAAAAACUAUGAGAAUUCAAAUUACAGAUUGAGGAUUCGAAUGGCCACAAAAGUUCAGCUAAAACAUGAAUGAAAAAUACAGAACCGAUUCAACAAUACAUAUCUGUAUUGUGAGCUAGGGUUGGUUGCAGAAAUGGCUAGAAGUGGCCAAUUUGAUUGGAAAAAGUCUGAGAAUUCAAAUUACAGAUUGAGGAUUCGAAUGGCCACAAAAGAUCUGCUAAAACAUGAAUGAAAAAUACAGAACCGAUUCAACAAUACCUAUCUGUAAUGUGGGCUAGGGUUCGUUGUGAAAAUGGCUAGAAGUGGCCAUUUUGAUGGAAAAAGUAUGGUAAUUCAAAAUAGAGAUUGGGGAUUCGAAUGGCGACAAAAGAUCUGCUAAAACAUGAAUGAAAAAUACAGAACCAAUUCUACAAUACCUAUCCGUUCUGUGACCUAGGGUUGGCUGUAGAAAUGGCUAGAGAUGGCCAAUUUGAUUGGAAAAAGUGCGAGAAUUCAAAUUACAGAUUGGGGAUUCGAAUGGCGACAAAAGAUCUGCUAAAACAUGAAUGAAAAAUAC
rnacentral:lncRNA from 1 species